rnacentral:siRNA from 1 species
UUGAGUGUCUAUGGUGAAGAGA